AACGAACGCUGGCGGCAGGCUCAACACAUGCAAGUCGAGCGCCCAGCGAGGGGAGCGGCAGACGGGUCAGUAACGCGUGGGAAUCUACCCAUCUCUACGGACGAACGAAUGGAAACGUGUGCUAAUACCGCAUACGUCCAGCGGGAGAAAGAAUUAUCGGAGAUGGUUGGGCCCGCGUUGGAUUAGCUAAUUGGUGGGGUAAAACCCUACCAAGGCGACGAUCCAUCGCUGGUCUGAGAGGAUGAUCAGCCACACUGGGACUGAGACACGGCCCAGACUCCUACGGAGGCAGCAGUGGGGAAUAUUGGACAAUGGGCGCAAGCCUGAUCCAGCCAUGCCGCGUGAGUGAUGAAGGCCCUAGGGUUGUAAAGCUCUUUCACCGGUGAAGGUAAUGACGGUAACCGGAGAAGAAGCCCCGGCUAACUUCGUGCCAGCAGCCGCCGUAAAAC
rnacentral:rRNA from 1 species